rnacentral:lncRNA from 1 species
GGAUCCGAGCCGCGUCUGCAACCUACACCACAGCUCACGGCAACGCCGGAUCGUUAACCCACUGAGCAAGGGCAGGGACCGAACCCGCAACCUCAUGGUUCCUAGUUGGAUUCGUUAACCACUGCGCCACGACGGAGAAUAUUCAUGGAACAUUGCCUGCCAACAGCUGUUUAAUUCAAAUGGUGAAAUGACACCAUAAGUUACCCGUGUGGGGAUGCAUGCGUGUGUUUGCAUAUAAAACCAGCAGUUCUGUGUCACUGCUUCUUGUACCCCAGUACUACUCCAGGGACUAAGUACUUUCAAGUUGUCUGGUUGUUUCUUCGAUAUUUAAAUGCCACAUCUCUAAAUAGCCCGCAUAUUCUAUCUUUUCAAUGUGUCUCCUGACUUCUUGUUACGGUAGAUCAAGAUAAUCAAAGCUCUUACAUGCUCCCCCAUCUCACUCCCAUCUUGUAGCUCUUUCUUUCUUUCUUCUGGAGAAUGUGAGUAACAUAAUUUGAUAAUAUUAAAGUUAAUAUUAAAUUUAAUGUAUGAUCAUUGGAGUAAAAUAAGUACUCAGUAGGUACAUGUCCACAACCACAAGAGUAUUGUCCAGGGCUAAGUCACACAGUAUACUGUGCCGGUGUCUUCUUUCCGGGAUUACUCUUGAAUGUUUUGAAGAUUACUAUUUCCUCAAUUUCUCCUUUUCCUUAUCGUUUCUUAUUUAUUUAUUUAUUUAUUUAUUUAUUUAUUUAUUAUUUAUCAUUUGUCUUUUGAGGGCUGCACCCGCAGCAUAUGGAGGUUCCCAGGCUAGGGGUCCAAUCAGAGCUGUAGCCGCCGGCCUCCACCACAGCCGCAGCAACGAGGGACCUACACCACAGCUCACGGCAACACCGGAUCCUUAACCCACUGAGUGAGGCCAGGGAUCGAACCCACAACCUCAUGGUUCCUAGUCGGAUUUGUUUCCACUGUGCCACGACGGGAACUGCUCUCUAUCUUUUUAAAGAGCUAUUGGUUUUUAAAGUCUUAUUAAGAUAUAACUGGCGUGCAAUAAUUUGCAUAUAAAGUGUACAACUUGAUAAGCUUUGAAAUAUGUAUCACAAACCUGUGAAACUAUGGCCCCAGUAAAGAUAAUGAACUUAAGCGUCGACCCCAAGGAUUGCCUGGGCCCCCUUUUAAUCCCUUCCUCUUCCCGUCUUUGCUUUCUCUCCUUCUCAGGAAACUACUCAUCUCCUUUCACUAUAGUUCAGAUUUUAUUUUCUAGAAUUUGUAUAAAUAGAAUCUCACAGUCUAUACCUUUUUUUGGUCUGCUUUGUGUCACGGCGUAAUUAUUUUGUGACUCAUCCAUGUGGCAUGUCUUGAUGGUUCAUUUCUUUUACUGUGGAGCAGAGUUCCAGUCUCUCCACAUCCGGUUAGUCUUUUAAACUAUAACCACUCUAAGAGGUAUGCAGUGGUUGCUCUGUGAUGCAUUUGUAUUUUCUUCACGGCCAGUGCUGUCACGCAUCUUUCCAUGUGCUUAUUUGCUCUCCACAUGUGUCUGCUGGUGAAGCAUCUAUUUAAAUUUUUACCUAUUAAAAAUUUUUUGGGAGUUCCCAUUGUGGCUCAGUGGGUUAAGGAUCCACUGCUGUUUCUGUGAGGAUGUAUGUUCAAUUCCUGGCCUCACUUAGUGGGUUAAGGAUCCGGCAUUGACACAAGCCGUGGCCUAGGUCACAGAUGCGGCUGGGAUCUGGUGUUGCUGUACCUGUGGUGGAGUCCUCAGCUUCAGCUCUGAUUUGACCCCUGGUCAGGGAACAUUCCAAGGCCACCAAAAAAAAAAAAAAAAAAAAAUUAUUAUAAAUCUUUGGUAUUCACAUAUUAUGGAUAUAAGUCCUUUAUGAGAUAAAUGAUUUGCAAAUACUCUUUAUGAUUUUCAAGUAUUAUCUUUCAGUCUAUGGCUAGUCUUUUUGCUCUUGACAAUGUUUUUCAAAGAGAAGUUCUUAAUUUUAGAAAAAUCCACUGUGCUGAUUUUGACUAAGAAUUCUUUUCCUAAAACAGGAUUACAAAUUUUUUUUUAUAUCUUUUCUUCUAGAAAUUCUAUUCCUUUCAGGUCUAUUAUCCAUCUUGAGUUACUGUUUGAAUAUGCAAGUAGAAGCACUUUUUGGGCUAUAUGGAUAUCCAGUUGUUCAAGCACCACUUAUCAAACAGGCUAUUUAUUCACCAAUGACUUCAUCUCACCUUUGUUGAAAAUCAAUUACUUACAUACACAUAGCUCUAUUUCUUGACUCUCCAUUCUUUUCCACUGACCUGUUAAUCCAUCCAUCUUUUUGUCAAUAUCAUGGUGUCUUGAUUAUUUUUAUAGCAAACUUUCUAGCAAGAUAUUAUAAGUCCUUUUUGUACUUUGAUAAGUUUCUGGGAUUCUCUUAUUUUGGGUGUUGCAUACUUCCAUUUGACUCACUCUGGUCCAAAGAUGGAACUGUUGCAACGCACAAUUUUUUUCAAGAUUUUGAUAUAAGAGUGACAGGCUAGAAGAUGAAUAGUCCUUAUAUAGCAGUCUUCUUCCAAGUGUCGCCGGUGGAGCAUCCAUGUUAGAAUCAACUUUGAUGUGUGUGGGCGUGUGCAUGCAUGUGUAUUCGUGCACUAUUCCUGUGCUUAUGCCUGAUCUACCGACUCAGAAUCUCUAGGAACAAGGGCCCAAGGAUCUGCAUAUUUAGUAGGCUUUCUGAGUGAUUCUUUGGACACUGAGGUUUGAUAAUCGCUGAGGCAAUGAUGCCUGAAAAAAUCCUUUCCUAACUGUCAUCCAUUGCACAGAUGAGUGAAACAGAUGUCAUUAUUUAGGUGGAAAGGAAGAACAUUUAAAUUUACCUGGUUAUUCAUUUACUCACUUUUUCAUUCAUUCAUUCAUUCACUAUGAACAGACAACAAAGACUAAACGUCAUGAAGCAGCUUGAAGAAUUGGUGGAAUCUAGUUCCACAGACAGCUCUCCGACUGUCAGGGGACGAAUCGGCUGCUGAUGGUCCCAGCAGUUGGGGAGCAGAGCAACUCUGUGCUGGUAAGGAUCCCACAGGCGUCCCCACCCCUAGGCUUAUGCAGAUUUAUUUUAAACAGUCCCACACUAAAAGAAAGCUAAGUUAUUUAAAGCCUAUUUAGGACGGGAAGUUUUGUAGCCUCCUUCAUACCAUAGUUCUAGUGUUUAGAACUAUUUUCACCACUACAAGUGCCUGAUUGUCAAAAACAGAUACAAUUUCUUGCCAUGGAAAAAGCAGGGAUGACCUGGGGCCAUGGCGCCCACUGGAGAAAUAGUAAGCCACUAAUGACGGUGGUUCCGUUUGUUUUCAGUCUGGUGUCUUGGUAACUGUUCUCUUGUGCAACAGAACACGUUAAAGUUGGAAGUGGGCUCAGUACACUGGCCUCAUUCUACAGGCCAGGAGGCUAGGGUUCAGGGAAGCCAAGUGACAUAUACCACGUCACACAGAUAACAAGUGACGAUCUAUGUGGAAAGCAGAUAUAGCAGCCUUUGCAUUACUCUGCUGAAAUAAUUAGCAUGGGGCUUACUAACGACCCAGAGCAAGUAAGGAUGCUUCUUAUCGCAGAAGCAUGGCAAGAGCUCCGUAGUAAAAAUACAAGAUAAUGUCCUGAGUCCAAUCCUUUGUGUAAAUAAGUAAGCAAAUAAAUGGGAAACCUCCAAACUUCCACUCCUAACAAUGAAGAGUUUUAAUUUUUUUUUAAUGAGUACAUCCCUAGGGGAACAUGUGUAUAUGGCCUUAUAUUGUACACUGACUAGAAAAGGAUCCACAGUUCCUCAGAAGAUCCAUUCCCUUGAUUAGUGGGAAGUGAGGUGAGUUAAUUAAGGUUACCUUAACACUAAUUAGUCAAGACCUUAAUUAUGCUUUCAGGGCAAGAACAUAGGCGUACUUUGGUUCUUAGUGACCCAGUUAAACAAAGUGAUGGGAUUUCUUGUCUUCUGUCUAACAGUGAUUUGUGAUAAGGAACAAAGGGAGAAAAUCUAAUCCACUGGGGUUGUAGGAACCUUCUUAAAACAGAGUCAACCAGAGAGCAGCAGUGGGCCUAAGAUUUCAAAAAGCAUCCUCUGUAGCUUCUGAGCUAGCCCUGCAGGAGAAAGGCCAAGGGGUUGAGGCCUGGCUGACUUCGUCCUGGAGAGCUCCAAAGAAAUUCACUCAUCAGACCAGAAAAAUAAAUGGAUCAGAGUAUAAGAAAUAACGGAGGGCCUCAAGUUCAAGGGGGAGAGCUGGGGGAAGUCAUAACAAAUAAGCUGAAGACGAAGUGGGAAAAGCCCUUUCCCAGCCAUGGCUGUGUGUUUCGCUGACUGAGGGUCUUCCGCAGGCCAGGCUUUUGGUCUAAGUGGAUGGGAAGUUAUGUCUGGUUGGACAGAUAGGUUUGCAGACAGACAAAGUACACCGCAACAUACUAAGGAGGCUGGUUGUAAGUCUGUCUCUCCCACCAGACUGUGUGCAGGCUGGACUGCAUCUUGUGAUUCACCAAAUGCAGCAUGAAAAUGGGAUUAGAUUCUUGCCAGCACCAGUAUUCUCUUUCCCAUAGCUGUAACCUCUCACGUUUCCAGGGUGAUGUGUGAACAAAGCCAUUCUAACUUGGCUCUACCUAGAAGAAUUUUUGUCUUGGGUGGUGUCAUUUAGGCAUGAGAAAAAGCAAUAUGCCAGCUCAAGCCUGGCUCAAAAGACUAAAUUUGGAGAAAGCUGUUGUAUUUGUAUGUGUUUCUAGUUUUAAUGGAUUAUAUCCAUUGUCCUUCUUUGCAAAAUACCGCAAACCCCAUUUCAUAAAGGCAUUUCCCUCUAUCACAAAAAUGUUAAUAGGAUAAUUUAUGGAAACAUUAAUUUGUGCUCUAAGAUGCUUCCUUUGGCAUGAAUUCUCUUUCUUAUGUACCAAGAUUCAGUGAUUCCUUGUCUGAGGGCUUUUUGCAUGGUGGAUACAAAGGCAAGUCAUUUUGUUUCGGAAAAUCUGAACUCAAUGAGAAGGUGGUCCCGGGUCUUCUUGGAAGAGGGUGGUAAUAAAAGUGAAUUUGAGGGUGGGCUUGCAGGCUGAAGCAUCCUUGUGGGUGUGGGUGGGGAUGGUGGGGGAGUGAGAGACCGGGUCGGGGCUUUGCAGUUUCUACAGCUGCACACAC